rnacentral:misc_RNA from 1 species
GAUUUUGGUGAGGAAUCGAACCUUUGGAGCGGCCAUUGGGUACUCUUCAGGCAAAAAGAGUUCCAGUUUGAAAACACCUCCUUCAUAAGGAGACUGCGUUGGACCAAGAAUCAUGACAUUAAAAUAUCGCAUAUUUUCUUCUGAGGGAGAAGCACUUAUUCCUGGUGCAGGUUCACUUAGAAGACGCUGAGUUUCCUUGAUGAUUCUUCGAGGAAGAUUGCUGUUA